CCUACGGGUGGCAGCAGUGAGGAAUAUUGGUCAAUGGGCGCGAGCCUGAACCAGCCACGUAGCGUGAAGGAUGACUGCCCUACGGGUUGUAAACUUCUUUUAUAAAGGAAUAAAGUGCGGCACGUGUGCCUUUUUGUCUGUACUUUAUGAAUAAGGAUCGGCUAAAUCCGUGCCAGCAGCCGCGGUAAUACGGAGGAUCCGAGCGUUAUCCGGAUUUAUUGGGUUUAAAGGGAGCGUAGAUGGGUUGUUAAGUCAGUUGUGAAAGUUUGCGGCUCAAACGUAAAAUUGCAAUUGAUACUGGCAGUCUUGAGUACAGUUGAGGUAGGCGGAAUUCGUGGUGUAGCGGUGAAAUGCUUAGAUAUCACGAAGAACUCCGAUGGCGAAGGCAGCUUACUAAGCUGCCACUGACAUUGAUGCUCGAAAGUGUGGGUAGCAAACAGGAUUAGAUACCCUGGUAGUC
rnacentral:rRNA from 1 species